UACGUAGGGUGCAAGCGUUAAUCGGAAUUACUGGGCGUAAAGCGUGCGCAGGCGGUUGUGCAAGACCGAUGUGAAAUCCCCGGGCUUAACCUGGGAAUGGCAUUGGUGACUGCACGGCUAGAGUGUGUCAGAGGGGGGUAGAAUUCCACGUGUAGCAGUGAAAUGCGUAGAGAUGUGGAGGAAUACCGAUGGCGAAGGCAGCCCCCUGGGAUAACACUGACGCUCAUGCCACGAAAGCGUGGGGGAGCAAACAGG
rnacentral:rRNA from 1 species